rnacentral:rRNA from 1 species
AUUUGAAGGCCUUCGGGUUGUAAAGCAGGUUGGCAGGAAAGAGGUCAUGGAGUUAAUACCCCGUGAAACUGACGGUACCUGCAGAAUAAGCACCGGCUAACUACGUGCCAGCAGCCGCGGUAAUACGUAGGGUGCAAGCGUUAAUCGGAAUACUGGGCGUAAAGCGUGCGCAGGCGGUUCGGAAAGAAAGAUGUGAAAUCCCAGAGCUUAACUUUGGAACUGCAUUAAUUAACUACCGGGCUAGAGUGUGUCAGAGGGAGGUGGAAUUCCGCGUGUAGCAGUGAAAUGCGUAGAUAUGCGGAGGAACACCGAUGGCGAAGGCAGCCUCCUGGGAUAACACUGACGCUCAUGCACGAAAGCGUGGGGAGCAAACAGGAUUAGAUACCCUGGUAGUCCACGCCCUAAACGAUGUCAACUAGCUGUUGGGGCCUUCGGGCCUUAGUAGCGCAGCUAACGCGUGAAGUUGACCGCCUGGGGAGUACGGUCGCAAGAUUAAAACUCAAAGGAAUUGACGGGGACCCGCACAAGCGGUGGAUGAUGUGGAUUAAU